GCGGCUUGGAGCGGUUGAUGACGAACAUCUCGUGGCCGCGCUCGUCGCGGAGCUCCUCUAGCUGUGCGAACGUACAGGGGCCGUCCAAGUAGUCGUUGACGAACACCGCGCCCUCCCCCGGAGGCCCCCGCGCCUUUUUUCGCCUGCGGCGCCGGCGACAGAUCAUGGCGACCAGGAGCAGCGCCGUGAGCGCCAGCAGCGCGAUGGCCGCCGCAACGGCCGUCUGCGUGGCCAGGCCCAGGGCGCGGAAGGCCAUGCUGCCCGCCUCGGGCCGGGGCUCGCUGCCGGCGGGGCGGGCGGCCGGAGGCGGCGGUUGCGCGGGCUGCUGCGGUUGCUGCCGGGACGCGUUGACCAGGAGCCGGAAGGGCACGCGGGCAGCGCCGCCGGCGUUGGAGGCCUCGCACUCGUACUUACCGGCGUGCGCCAGCGUGAUGUUGCUGAGGAAGAGCAUGCCGCUGCCCGUGUCGGAUGCCGAGUGUCCGCCCAGGCCCAGCAACCCGCCUUCUAGCUGGGCCUGGGCUCGCGGCCGGCCCUCGCGAGGCUGGGGCACCUUUCUCCAGGUCACCAAUGGCUGCGGGUAGCCGGAGGCUUGGCAGGCAACCCGCAGGUCCUCACCCAGGUUGGCUGUGAGCUCCAGCGGCUGCACGUGGACAGAGGGCGGAAUGCAGAUGAGGCUGCUGUGGGAUACGUCCAGGAGACUCUGGAGCGCCAGGCGCGGGGGCUCUGCACACAUGAUCUUCCUGUCCCUGGAGAUCACUUCUCCGUCGGUCUCUGAGAAAGCACCUGCUCCUUAAGUCUUCCUGCAACAAGUGCCACUGUUUUUAGGAACCUGGGCGUCCACAUAGACAUCUCACCAGCACUGAAACCUCACAAGUCCUCUCAGCCUUGUCUUUGGAUGCCCUCUCUUGGGAAUGUCCCCAGUCCUGGUCAGCUGUCUCUCUCCUUUGCAAUUUUGUCUGCCUCCCCUCUGACAGCCUAAAAGUGUGCAGAACCCUCAAUUCUGUUAAGUCACCCUGUGGAGUUCCUGUCUUCUGUUUUCCCCAGGCAGGGUGCCUGAGCUGUAUCCCCCAGCACACCCACUCCCGCAGCCCUCCACUGUGGCUGCAGGUGGUGGUGCAGCCUUCCAGACUGCUGCCCAGUUGCCUGAUGUCAGAGCCCCUCCACACAUGAGCCUGCUCCCUACUGCCAACACCGUGGCCCAGACAGAGACGCUUUCCGAGGAAGAGGUGAAGCUCCUGCAGUCGCUGAAGUAAGGACAGCAGAUCGUGAGGAAAAAGGGCGCCGAGGUUGGGGGCAUGUCUCUCUUCUUACCAAGCUAGACUGGGUUGCCUUUUCUAACUAUUCCAGCCCUACAGGGCGAGGGGCCAUAAUGGAGUAUCCCGCCCCUUUAGACCCCAGGCGCUCACCGGCAG
rnacentral:sRNA from 1 species